rnacentral:piRNA from 1 species
UUUCCUUUUUCAAAACCAUGU